UACGUAGGGGGCAAGCGUUGUCCGGAAUCAUUGGGCGUAAAGCGCGCGUAGGCGGCCCGGUAAGUCCGUUGUGAAAGUCAAAGGCUCAACCUUUGAACGCCGAUGGAUACUGCCGGGCUAGAGUCCGGAAGAGGCGAGUGGAAUUCCUGGUGUAGCGGUGGAAUGCGCAGAUAUCAGGAGGAACACCAGUGGCGAAGGCGAGUCUCUGGGACGAUGCUGACGCUGAGGCGCGAAAGCCAGGGGAGCAAACGGG
rnacentral:rRNA from 1 species